GCGAGACUCCGUGGGCGUAGGACCCUCCGAGCCAGGUGCGCGAUAUAAUCUCGUGGUGCGCCGUUUUUUAAGCCCGUCGGAAAAGCGCAGUAUUCGGGUGGGAGUGACCCGAUUUUCCAGGUGCCGUCCGUCACCCCUUUCUUUGACUGGGAAAGGGAACUCCCUGACCCCUUGGGCUUCCCAAGUGAGGCAAUGCUUCGCCCUGCUUCGGCUCGCACAAGGUGCGCGCACCCACUGACCUGCGCCCACUGUCUGGCACUCCCUAGUGAGAUGAACCCGGUACUUCAGAUGGAAAUGCAGAAAUCACCUGUCGUCUGCGUCGCUCACGCUGGGAGCUGUAGACCGGAGCUGUUCCUAUUCGGCCAUCUUGGCUCCUCGAUCCUGAAUUACUUCAAUAGGUGCAGAAAAACAUCUGGCAAAAUCCAACAUUAAUUCCAAGAAAAACUCUCAGCAAACUAAGAAUAUGGGAAGCUUCCUCAACAUGAUAAAGCAUAUCAACAAAAAUCCUACAGGUAAAUAUGGAAUACAACGCAGCAAUAAAAAUGAAUCAACUAUUUGUACACAAAGCAAAACUCACGAAAAGAGCCAGACAAAAGGCCAUCACUUCCCCCUUGUGUGAAAAUCUUGGAAUCUCAUGUUCAUAUGGCGGUGCCAAACAAUUGAAGCAGCCUGCAAUGCUGAGUGUACAUUUGGAGGACAACUGUUAUGGAGAGCUGCCCAGACCUAGAAUGGAUUUUUACAACAGGAAAGUAAAUUUCUGGUAUGCAGCCACUGAAAGGGAGUUUAUCUGACCAUGGCAUAACCCAACCUAUCUUGGC
rnacentral:lncRNA from 1 species